rnacentral:rRNA from 1 species
UGGGGAAUAUUGGACAAUGGGCGCAAGCCUGAUCCAGCCAUGCCGCGUGAGUGAUGAAGGCCUUAGGGUUGUAAAGCUCUUUUGCCGGGGACGAUAAUGACGGUACCCGGAGAAUAAGUCCCGGCUAACUUCGUGCCAGCAGCCGCGGUAAUACGAAGGGGACUAGCGUUGUUCGGAAUCACUGGGCGUAAAGCGCACGUAGGCGGAUCAUUUAGUCAGGGGUGAAAUCCCGGGGCUCAACCUCGGAACUGCCUUUGAUACUGAUGGUCUCGAGUCCGAUAGAGGUGGGUAGAAUUCCUAGUGUAGAGGUGAAAUUCGUAGAUAUUAGGAAGAAUACCGGUGGCGAAGGCGGCCCACUGGAUCGGUACUGACGCUGAGGUGCGAAAGCGUGGGGAGCAAACAGG